UACGAAGGGGGCUAGCGUUGCUCGGAAUCACUGGGCGUAAAGGGUGCGUAGGCGGGUCUUUAAGUCAGAGGUGAAAUCCUGGAGCUCAACUCCAGAACUGCCUUUGAUACUGAGGGUCUUGAGUAUGACAGAGGUGAGUGGAACUGCGAGUGUAGAGGUGAAAUUCGUAGAUAUUCGCCAAGAACACCAGUGGCGAAGGCGGCUCACUGGGUCAUUACUGACGCUGAGGCACGAAAGCGUGGGGAGCAAACAGG
rnacentral:rRNA from 1 species